rnacentral:rRNA from 1 species
AUUGAACGCUGGCGGCAGGCCUAACACAUGCAAGUCGAACGAGUGGCGGACGGGUGAGGAAUGUCGGGGAAACAGACCGAUGGAGGGGGAUAACUACGGGAAAAGGUAGCGAAUACCGCAAACCAGCGGAAGUGACCAGAUGGGAUUAGCUUGUAGGGGAGUUAACGGCUCACCCAGGAGACGAUCCCUAGCUGGUCUGAGAGGAUGACCAGCCACACUGGAACUGAGACACGGUCCAGACUCCUACGGGAGGCAGCAGUGGGGAAUAUUGCACAAUGGGCGCGAGCCUGAUGCAGCCCUGCCGCGUGUAUGAAGAAGGCCUUCGGGUUUUAAAGUACUUUCGUCUGGGAGGCGUUACCCGCAGAAGAAGCACCGGCUAACUCCGUGCCAGCAGCCGCGGUAAUAC